rnacentral:rRNA from 1 species
UACGUACCGUCCAAACGUUAUUCGGAUUUACUGGGCUUAAAGGGUGCGUAGGCGGCUCAGAAAGUAGGGUGUGAAAGCCCUCGGCUUAACCGAGGAAUUGCGCCCUAAACUACUGGGCUUGAGGGAGACAGAGGUAAGCGGAACUUACGGUGGAGCGGUGAAAUGCGUUGAUAUCGUAAGGAACACCAGGAGCGAAAGCGGCUUACUGGGUCUCUUCUGACGCUGAGGCACGAAAGCUAGGGGAGCGAACGGG